GGGGGUCCCAGUUCCGAACCCG
rnacentral:snRNA from 1 species